rnacentral:lncRNA from 1 species
CCGGUGGCUGUGGGGUGCGCAAUGGGGCGGGAGGAAGGGGCUGACGGGGCUGGGUGUUUGUAGGAACAGGGAGCGAACGCUUGGACCCAAAAUGUGGGGUGCUUUGGGUGGUCUCUGUGCCAGGGUUGGGUACGGCGGAGGGGAGCGCAUCCUUUGGGUGGUGGGUGGGCAGUGUGGGAGAAGGGAUGUCCCUGUCCCUCCUGUCCCCUCGCCCCCUGCAAUGGGGUCUCCAGGGGUGAGGGCUGGCAGCCUGCAGAGCGGAGACACGCAGGGUUGGGGGAAAAAGGAGCUGGGAAAGGUGGGAAACGGCCCCCUUGGAGACCCAGCUUGGCGAGGGGGAGAAAAAAAAGCUUCCACGGGGCUUUCCCCUCCUCUUCCAGAGCAAGCUGGUCAAGUACUUCAGCCGGCAGCUCUCCUGCAAGAGGAAGGUGGCGUUGCAGGAGCGCAAUGCCAAGCUGGAAGGCUUCCCCCAGCUCCUGCACUGGUUCCGCAUCGUCGACAUCCGCAAGGAGGUGAUGGAGGAAAUAGCCCCUGGGCAGCUGAGCCUGGAGGAGCUGCUGGAGAUGACCGACGACCAGGUCUGUGAGACCGUGGAGAAAUUUGGGGCCAACAGCGAGGAGUGCGCCCGCCUCAACGCCUCCCUGUCCUGCCUGCGCAGCGUCCACAAGUCUGGUGAGUGGGCUCCGCACCCCAUGAUCAUGUCCUGGGGGCACCGCUCGGGUUUGUGAUCCUAAAUAGGGCCGGGAGCCCCCAUUUGUGCCCCCAAAUCUGGGCGCCAGCAGCGGGCAUCACCCGCACCCUCAUGGGGGCUGCUGGAGAGGGAGGCUGAGACCCCCCCAGGCUCCCCGCAGCGCCCCUGCUCCAAGCAGGGUUAUUUUAUUUCUAUUAUUUUUUUAAUUUUUGGAAGGAUUUGGGGAGGGUUUGAGGGCUGCCCCCCCCCCAACAGCAGCAGGCAGCCGGGGUGCGAGGCCGGCGGGUGCCCGGGCGGUGGCAGCAGAGCUCUGCGGGAGGCGCUGAGCAUCCUCGGGGCUGGCAGCCGGCUGCAGGCAGGGUGCGGGUGGGAUGUGUCUGUCCGUCCAUCCUUCUGUCCUGGGGGGGUUUGGAGCCCCCCAGGCCCCCCUCCGCAGCUGCUUCCA